rnacentral:lncRNA from 1 species
UCUUGGGAUAUUUUCACAUGCCCGAAGCCGAUUCUCGGACUCGACAGUUUGCUGCCAUGGCCUUCCUAGCUUUGAGGAGUCUGCCUACAUUCAGAAGACAAUGCGACAUCCUGAGGAAGCCUUGGAGAGAGAUUGCUGCUAGCUGAAGGAGGCAAAUGGAAGCCCUGGCCAUAAGGCUGUUAUUGCGGGCUUUAAAAGAGAAGGCACCUGAUGGAGUGUUUUUUAUCAUCUAGGCCAAACGUGGCAUCUCACUGCUACUCCUUUGAUCAAGAGGCAAAAAUAAGGGGCACAGGAUAGCCAAGAGUUCAAGCCUGGAAUAUUACAUUGGGAC